rnacentral:lncRNA from 1 species
UUUUCAGAAUCUUCAAGAGGUGAUUCCGUCGGUGAGGAUGGAGCGGAAAAUGUCGAAAAUCGAGACUCUGACGCUGGCCAGAAAUUACAUCAUGGCACUCACAAACGUCAUAUGCGAGAUCAAAGGCGGCGACAAACCAUUCUCAUUCUUGGACCAGUUUGCGCCCACUUCAGAGCAGCAAGUGGAGGAGGUGAUGCGCAACUUCCGUCUUGGAGGAGCCUCCUCUUCUCAGACGGGCCGCCGGCGAGACCAGCAGUUAUAGAAACUGUCCUGGCCUCGGGCCUCGGCCCGCCUCUGGCCCCGGUCCCGGCUUUGUCCCCGGACGGAGCGGAGAAGACGGUCAAUAGGAGAAAUUGUCACCACCGGUGACCACAGUCCUUCGAAGGUGCGCCUUACGUUGAAGCCAAGUCUCUUCGUCCCAGAAAGCUGUGGAGUAGAUAUAAUUAUAUGAGAUGUCAGCUACGUGGGGGACGUCUGUUGGAAAGCAUCGACAGGCAAGCGUGCCCCUCGCGGUUAGCAGCUGAUGAGGGUGACACGUGUCACCUAAGAACUACAUGUGACAUUCGAGAUGAAGGAAUAAUGCGAAGUACAGUGGAUAAUGAUGCUUCGAGAGAAACUCAAAGGGAGGGUUGUGGAUGUAAAUAGUUUUAAAUAUGUGCGUUUUCACUUGUCAACAACAUGAAUGCCUUGAUAUGUGCCGAUGAACUAGAGCUGACGAGCUCUGCAGUCUUGAAGAACUGCUGACUUUAGAUCUUCAAGGGCUUCAAGACAUGGACAGAAAUUCGGCUCAAGGGCAAUGCGUUCGAUGAAAGUGUUCGGGGGUUGUUGGGGUACUGUGUUUUGUCCAUCCCCCGUGUGUCAGAUACUAGGCCCGGGUGACCUCAUAAGGGUGACCGAGUGACCUCCUAGGGGUGACCGGGUGACCUAGGGGUGAGGGGUGACCGCUGUGUGGUGAAGGUGACCAUAUGUGACCGAGUGAAAUGUGAAAGAAUAUGUGGGGUUUCAGUUUGACUGAAUGCUUCAAUAUGGAGGAAAUAGUGCAAUUUGGUAUUUGUCGGUGAUGUAUAGGAGGAAUUUUCGUACUGCUGGCUUUCUAUGCGCAAUAUUUUGUUAACUUCCUUCCAUUUUAAAUGUAUUCAUCUCUGCAAAUUUGCUGCUUUUACCGGUUACGUCUCCAUCAUGAUGCAUCACUAUAAAUCAAACUUCAGCAUUUGUCUGACCACGGUCAACUAAGAUUUCACCUUUCGCCUAUCCCAUCAUACGCUCACCUAUGACCUAUGUAUGCGCUCGAAACCAAUUGCUGAUGACUGAAAUGCGUUUGUAGAAGCUGAGAGAUUGUGUGCAGUGCCGCGAGUUGUCCUUAUGUGCAAUGGUAAAGUGGCUUUAAGCCGAUCAAUGGCGGUAACUGUCCCACGGUGAAGUCACAGAAACAACGUGAUCGCUGAGAAAUUAUAUAAGGGUAGGCUUAGAUACCUCCUUCAUAUUUCGCCUCACUUUUGCAUCGUAGCUGACAAAAAGAAAAUAAUUUUUAAGGGGACGGGUUAUUCAUAUCAGUUCAUCAGACAAUUUUACCAUUGUCAAUCAUUUUGAUGCGCCUAUAACCUUCGAUGGCUCUUUUUUUUAUAAAUGUCUCUAUCCGAACACCUGCGCUGAUUGGACCAUGCCAUGUUCCAGUCUAAUUGGAAUUUCAAAUACGAUAAAACUGAAAUUUGAAAAUACAUACGACGUGGCUCCACACCGAUUUCCUACGACGUCUUCCAUGAUGUUCGCCAUUGCUGUCCGUCUCGCUGAACCGACUUAGUUUGACUGAAUUGAAUUGCAAGGCUUGCCGAAUUACCAAUUCGAUUGUAUGAAAACUUGUUAUGUUUUGUCUGAGUAGCAGAAAACUCCCUGUAGAUGAUACCAGUGCAAAGUCUAUGGUUCAAAUGUCUGUCUUCCACAACGUUCUUUGUGCGUGGUUUCGGGUUGUACUGUGAAUGGUAAAUUAUUUUGUCAAUGAAAAGUGAACGCGAGGAAUAACAGAACGUCUUGUAUUACUGUGAAAGUGGCUACCUUUUUGUGUAAGUCUGCAUACAUUUUGUUUCGAAUGACUUUCUUUGUACGAAAUUCAUAAUAAUGGAAAUAUUUUGAUCUAUCACAGCACUACGUACAGCAUAAUUUGCUCGUUUUCUCGCCGUAGGCAUUUAAAUGAGUGUGUGUGCCCGUUUAAAUGAGUGUUUCCCCGGAGACUUGAUGCCUUAUGUGGUCGUUUUACCGCUUUUUUAGACACCUGCUGCCUUAUAGAAAUCUGCGUUUGUGAUUUGAAUAAUCGAGUCUUUCACGAUUGUUCAUCUACUAGCACCCAGAGCUCCAACUGAUAUUCCACAGAGAAUAGAGAUAGCGAUUUAUGCAGAAAUAUCCCAAGCAUGAGAUAAAUUUUCUCUCUGCGAUGGCUCAGCGUUUCAAAUGCAGUGAAUAAGCGGAGUAUGUCAUUUGGAGCUUGUCAUGUAUGAAUAUGUUGAGCUAAUGUGGAUAUACACAACUGACGUGAAAAUCCACACCGAAUUCGAACUGGCCAAUGAAUCGAGAAGACCAUGUUUGCUUACUGAAUGCUGAUCUUUUUGGUGAAAGUGUGUGCGAGUUUAAAGUUUGUGUCACAGAGUAUAUAGCUUUUGAUUAUUUAUUCCUUUAUGACCUAUUGUCGAAUGUGGGCUUGGGGAAGGGGUGCCCCGGAUUUGGCCAUUUUAUGACUGUAUUUUUGUAGAUAAGUGCUAAAUAUAUGGGAAACAAA